CCCCGUGGUGAUGCGCACACCAAAAUGCAAAUUUGGAGACGCACCCCAAAAGGUGCCGGGGCUUCUCCCGUUUUAAAAAGGCGGGAGAAGG
rnacentral:tRNA from 1 species